rnacentral:tRNA from 1 species
UCCCUGGUGGCUCAGUUGGUAAAGAAUCUGCCUGCAAUGCAGGAGACCUGGGUUCGAUCUCCUGGUUGGGAAG